rnacentral:rRNA from 1 species
UACGUAGGGUGCGAGCGUUGUCCGUAAUUAUUGGGCGUAAAGAGCUCGUAGGCGGCCUGUCGCGUCGGAUGUGAAAGCCCGGGGCUUAACCCCGGGUCUGCAUUCGAUACGGGCAGGCUAGAGUUCGGUAGGGGAGAUCGGAAUUCCUGGUGUAGCGGUGAAAUGCGCAGAUAUCAGGAGGAACACCGGUGGCGAAGGCGGAUCUCUGGGCCGAUACUGACGCUGGGGAGCGAACGGG